rnacentral:sRNA from 1 species
GUGAAGUUGAUCACAACAAACAUAACCCCUUUUUUGACCGUGAAAGAUUUCUCCCAUCCCCUUUUGUUCGUAUUUAGGAAAAGACCUUGCAGAACCGGAGCUGCAAGGUCUUU